GAUGAACGCUGGCGGCGUGCCUAAUACAUGCAAGUCGAGCGAACGGACGAGAAGCUUGCUUUUCUGGUGUUAGCGGCGGACGGGUGAGUAACACGUGGAUAACCUACCUAUAAGACUGGGAUAACUUCGGGAAACCGGAGCUAAUACCGGAUAAUAUUUUGAACCGCAUGGUUCAAAAGUGAAAGACGGUCUUGCUGUCACUUAUAGAUGGAUCCGCGCUGCAUUAGCUAGUCGGUAAGGUAACGGCUUACCAAGGCAACGAUGCAUAGCCGACCUGAGAGGGUGAUCGGCCACACUGGAACUGAGACACGGUCCAGACUCCUACGGGAGGCAGCAGUAGGGAAUCUUCCGCAAUGGGCGAAAGCCUGACGGAGCAACGCCGCGUGAGUGAUGAAGGUCUUCGGAUCGUAAAACUCUGUUAUUAGGGAAGAACAUAUGUGUAAGUAACUGUGCACAUCUUGACGGUACCUAAUCAGAAAGCCACGGCUAACUACGUG
rnacentral:rRNA from 1 species